CNUGGGAACUGCGUUCUGAACUGGGUGACUAGAGUGUGUCAAAGGGAGGUAGAAUUCCACGUGUAGCAGUGAAAUGCGUAGAGAUGUGGAGGAAUACCGAUGGCGAAGGCAGCCUCCUGGGAUAACACUGACGUUCAUGCCCGAAAGCGUGGGUAGCAAACAGGAUUAGAUACCCUGGUAGUCCACGCCCUAAACGAUGUCGAUUAGCUGUUGGGCAGCAUGACUGCUUAGUAGCGAAGCUAACGCGUGAAAUCGACCGCCUGGGGAGUACGGUCGCAAGAUUAAAACUCAAAGGAAUUGACGGGGACCCGCACAAGCGGUGGAUGAUGUGGAUUAAUUCGAUGCAACGCGAAGAACCUUACCUGGUCUUGACAUGUACGGAACCCUCCAGAGACGGAGGGGUGCCUUCGGGAGCCGUAACACAGGUGCUGCAUGGCUGUCGUCAGCUCGUGUCGUGAGAUGUUGGGUUANNNNNNGCAACGAGCGCAACCCUUGUCAUUAGUUGCCAUCAUUAAGUUGGGCACUCUAAUGAGACUGCCGGUGACAAGCCGGAGGAAGGUGGGGAUGACGUCAAGUCCUCAUGGCCCUUAUGACCAGGGCUUCACACGUCAUACAAUGGUCGGUACAGAGGGUAGCCAAGCCGCGAGGUGGAGCCAAUCUCACAAAACCGAUCGUAGUCCGGAUUGCACUCUGCAACUCGAGUGCAUGAAGUCGGAAUCGCUAGUAAUCGCAGGUCAGCAUACUGCGGUGAAUACGUUCCCGGGUCU
rnacentral:rRNA from 1 species